CAAGAGCGUAUGUAAAAGUUGUUGCAGUUAAAAAGCUCGUAGUUGAACCUUGGGUUUGGUUGGCCGGUCCGCUUUUUUGCGAGUACUGGAUUCAACCGAGCCUUUCCUUCUGGCUAACCAGUCGUUUCGGCGGCUGGCGAACCAGGAUUUUUACUUUGAGAAAAUUAGAGUGCUCAAAGCAGGCAUUAGCUUGAAUAUAUUAGCAUGGAAUAAUAGAAUAGGACGUUAUGGUUCUAUUUUGUUGGUUUCUAGGACCAUCGUAAUGAUUAAUAGGGACGGUCGGGGGCAUCAGUAUUCAGUUGUCAGAGGUGAAAUUCUUGGAUUUACUGAAGACUAACUACUGCGAAAGCAUUUGCCAAGGACGUUUUCAUUAA
rnacentral:rRNA from 1 species